UGUGUGUGUGUGUGUUUGUUUGUGUGAUAAAAUUCUGUGCUUCUGUCUCCUUAUUGGCCACUGGGGAAGCUUGGUGCAUCAGAAUGAGAGAUGCCGAGAGGGAGGGAGAGACAGAGACAGAGACAGAGACAGAGAGAGAGAGAGAGAGAGAGAGAGAGAGAGAGACAGACACACACACACACACACACACACACACACACACACACACACACACACACACACACACACACACACACACACACACACCGACAAAGAGAGCGAGACAAAGAAAAAGAAAAGAGAGAGAGAGAAAGUGCGUUGUGGAGAGAGAGACUAUAUAAGCAGAACAAUGUAGUGAUGCUUUUAUGUUUGGGACUCUGCUGUCAAAAGUAUUUCCACAGGCUAUCUGUCCUGAUUCAGCUCUCUCCCUACCUCUCUCUCUCUCCCCCUUCUCUCUUCCUCUCUUUAGCUAAUGGAGGAAAGAGUAUGGGAGAUGGAUAGUUAAAACUGAGUAGAGUUCUGAAGCAGAGUAGAGGAGAGAGAGGAGGAGGAGGAGAGGAUGUGCAGAAGAUGAAGAGAGAGAGGGAGGAAGAGCAGAGGAGGAGGAGGAGGAGAGGAAGAGGGUGAGGAGGGAAGAUAAAGGGGGAGGAAGAGUAUGGAAAGCUAGACAGUGCAGAGAGGAGGGGCGGGAGGGUUGAAGAUGAGAAGAAUUUGCAGCUAAGAUUUACCAGAUAACUGACCUCAGUGCUAGCUAACCUCAGAGCUAACAGCUAGCCUCAGUGCUUACAGCUAGCCUCAGAGCCGACAGCUAUCCUCAGUGCUUACGGCUAGCCUCCUUGUUAUCAGCUAUCAUCGGUGCUUCCAGCUAACCUCAGCGCUAAACAACUAGACUCAGUGCUACCAGCGAACAUCAGCGCUAACAGUUAGCCCCAGUUUUUCCAGCCAACCUAGGCUCUAACUUGUAGCCUCAGUGCUACCAGCUAAUCUCAGUUACACAGUCAUUUGCACGAGGAUGUCAGACCCACACAACAGUGUCUGAAAGAGUCUCAGGGGCUUAGAGGGCUCAGCAGAGACAGAGCAAACGUUCUCCAGCUGUGUUUUUGCUCCGUGAUCCGGCCUCUGGGGACACUGGCUAGGCAUGGGCGUUAGCCUCUACAGCCGACAUGCUCGGAGAGAUUCACAAAGACUGAAGGGGCUUCUAGGGACAGAAACAGAGGGCGUGCGGGUUUGUCGCGACGCAGUGACACUGAGACCUGACAGACUGCGUCAGCUUUCAUGGAAUACAGAUACACUAGAUGGGUGGAUGGGUUUGAUAGGGUUGAUGCAUGGGUGGAUGGAUGGGUGGAUGCAUGGGUGGAUGGAUGGAUGAACCAAGAUGCAUAGAUAGAUGGAUGGAAGGGUGGUGGGUGUCCCGAUAUACCAGGUUAGGGGAGCUGAGGAGGAGGUCGGGAGGAGGUUUUUGGGAGAGCAGGGUCUGAGUGGGCUUUAUAAGCUCGUACCGUCUCAUUUGGUCUCCAGCCUGUUCCCAGCAGAGGGCUAGCUCUGGGCAGGUCGAUCUUUUACGGAUCACAGUCAGCUCACCAGAUGGCAACAUCUGUUGGACAUAGGAUUCUAAAUUGGGUCGGUAGUCAAGGUCACGGAAAUUCCCUUUGGCUACUUUCAUGCGUUAUAUUGUGCUUCUCGGACGUCAGAGCCAAGUGUGCGUGGGUUUUUCCAGGGGAUGUAUCUGACAGUGGGGGAAGGUAGUCUGGGUGUUAGAUGAUUAAGUUGACUUUGGGGGGGGAAUGAUGGCCAUCAAGCCGUGAUGUAAACUCUUAUUGCCACUAUUGACCCACAACUUAUUUUGGCUGAUAUCCUGGAAUGGAUUGGAACCGCUCCCCCUUUCUAUCGGUGUUGCUUGAAGCUCAACCGUCCAUCCCUCACUCUUCUCUCAACAUCUAUUCAAGCAUCACAUCUCUCUGUUGGAUCUUCUCUAAUAUUUGGUAUAAUAUUGUUGUUUAACACGUGUUCGCCUUAACAUACAUUUCGAUCAAACACACUUUGUUUGAUAUAACACAAUCUAUGGUGGAGUGUUCUCGGAGUCCUUCUAUAGAGGCCAUGUACAGACGGUAAAGACAUCAGGGCUGUCUUCAGGCUGUGGUCCUCAUUAAACCAGUCCCCAUUAGGGCUCAAAACGGUUUAUGUGUAGAAAAUAAACCCACCAUCUUAACUAUCGAGCACCGUUGAUUCCACCUACUGGUGUUAGAUAUAAUUGGGGAGGAGGAGGAGGAGGAGGAGGAGGAGGAGGAGGAUGAAGGUAUUAUGUGGAUAUGGAUAAUCGUUAGUUUGACUUGCUGUGUUUUCCAGUUCAGAGGCUAUAGGCUGACGCUGGAGGUUAAACGAUGCGCUAAAGUUACUUAUUGUGGUACAGCUAGCUUAAUCUGUCACAAACACAACCAACAGCUUCCUCUGGGAAAAAGCAAGACACCGACAUUAUUGUACAACAAAACUUGUUCUCUACGCAAGCUAGUUUUUAGAUCCAGUAACUGAAAUACCGAAAACUCACAUCGAUAAGUGCUCUUGAGAAUCUUUUUCUUCUUUUUUUUCACCUCGUCGCCAUUUUCCGCAGGUGUCUCCUGUGUGUUUUUGUCACUUGUUUCCUGGGGAAGUCUGGAGGAGGCGGGCCAGACGGUAAGUCCAGGCGGUGGUACUGUUGUCUCAGAAGUGGAAUACCUGCUGCUGCCCGGGGCUCUUUGAGGAGAAGUCCUCCUUCUGCUUGCGGGUCUUGUUGGGUCGCUCCAGGCUCCCCUGCUGGAGGUUCUUGAGGCUGGGCGAGGGGCGUCGGAGGGCGCUCGCCGUAGCUUCACCACCGCUUUGAUAGGCUCCUCCUCUUC
ensembl:lncRNA